UAGGACUUAACUACUAUCUUAAUUUCCCAUCAGAAGAAUCAAAGUUGGGAACUGAUCUGCAAAAGAAGCUGUCGCGGCUCUGUAUUCUUGACCUUCUUACUUAAUUGAGCAUUACUGGUCUAUGAGGUAACGUUGCCUUCUGCUCUCACUAAUACAUGGAGCUGCUGAGUGUCUGUAACUGAACAGAGGAGACUGAAAAACCGAAGAAUAGAGUCUGAUGUUCUCUGAUCGGGGUAUGCAAAUUAUGAAGCCCUGUGACUGUAACUCCACUGGGCAGUACUCAUUAAGAGGCUACAUAUUCUGUGCAACCCCUCAGAAAGCAAAGUCUGAAGAAUACCACAAAGGAGAAUAGAAAUCACAGAGGAGCGAGCAAUGCCUCUCCCAUGCAUUAAGCGAAUAAGAUACUUCCACAAGACUAAACUGGCCCUGGCGGGAGUUAUUUUGCAUCCAAAGUGAAGUAACCGCUGCUUUGGGGGCCCAGUUCGGGAGCAGGGCAAGGACAGCGAGGGAGCCGAAGCGCCUCGCGGCUGAGAGGCCCGGAGACAAAAGAGAAGCCCCGCUCCGCGGCAGGACGCCUCUCCCGGCUAGGCUGACAAACCCACGCUGCCCGUUUAUCGCGCCCCGUCC